UACGGAGGAUGCGAGCGUUAUCCGGAUUUAUUGGGUUUAAAGGGUGCGUAGGCGGAAUAUCAAGUCAGCGGUAAAAAUUCGGGGCUCAACCCCGUCGUGCCGUUGAAACUGAUGUUCUUGAGUGGGCGAGAAGUAUGCGGAAUGCGUGGUGUAGCGGUGAAAUGCAUAGAUAUCACGAAGAACUCCGAUUGCGAAGGCAGCUUACCAGUCUGCGACUGACGCUCAGGCACGAAAGUGUGGGUAUCGAACAGG
rnacentral:rRNA from 1 species